UUUAUUGUUCAAGGUAGAUUAUCGGAAGAUCACCCACAUAUGCAUCUGCGAGAAAGAAUUACUUUUCCUGUCUAUGUGUAAACUAGUUUUGCUGACACCAAGAACUCACUUUCUUUUUUUCUGACACUUCAUUAUUUGUUGAAAAAUAGUCUAAUUACAGUCUUCUUCUCUCAGAGUCAUAGUUCUAAUUAUUAGUUACAUUGACCUUUUCUGUUGAAUAAAAAGAAACAAACGUUAUAGCAUAAACCAUAAAAGCACUGGCAUUAAAUGCUAGUUGCAAAGAAGUACAUUCAUUGUGUGCUCCCAAAUUAGAAUGAAACAUCUUUGCAAGGCC
rnacentral:lncRNA from 1 species